AGUUGAAAUAAUUUAUAUAAAAUAUUGAUUUUGUAAAUCAAAUUAGAUCUUCUUUCUUUCAAUUU
rnacentral:tRNA from 1 species